rnacentral:rRNA from 1 species
UACCAGCACCCCGAGUGGUCGGGACGAUUAUUGGGCCUAAAGCAUCCGUAGCCGGUUCUGCAAGUCCCCCGUUAAAUCCAGCUGCUCAACAGAUGGGCCGCGGAGGAUACUACAGAGCUAGGAGGCAGGAGAGGCAAGCGGUACUCAGUGGGUAGGGGUAAAAUCCGUUGAUCCAUUGAAGACCACCAGUGGCGCAGGCGGCUUGCCAGAAUGCGCUCGACGGUGAGGGAUGAAAGCUGGGGGAGCAAACCGG